rnacentral:rRNA from 1 species
UACGUAGGGGGCAAGCGUUGUCCGGAUUUAUUGGGCGUAAAGAGCGUGUAGGCGGUUAUACAGGUCCGCUGUGAAAACUGGAGGCUUAACCUCCAGACGUCGGUGGAAACCGUAUGACUAGAGUCCGGAAGAGGAGAGUGGAAUUCCUGGUGUAGCGGUGAAAUGCGCAGAUAUCAGGAAGAACACCCGUGGCGAAGGCGGCUCUCUGGGACGGUACUGACGCUGAGACGCGAAAAGCGUGGGGAGCGAACAGG